rnacentral:rRNA from 1 species
AUGCCUAGGUGUUCAGUCCAGCUCCUGCAACCAACACGGGUCAUUGCCCUUUUUGCCACAACGGCAGCAGCACAAACACGAGCGUGGUCGUCCUCAAACCGGUUCCUCACGCGGCCUCCGCGCAAGCCCUGCUCAUGUAUGCUUACACCAAAACAGUUCAACAGGGGCGCGGGGUUCAGUUCGACGGUCACGAGCCAGGGUUUAUUUCUUUUCUUAUUUGUAUUGCUUGGUCGUCAGGUCGCAGCCUCUUCCUUCUGCAGGCCAUGCCCCAUCCCCCCAUUCCCGCAGCGACCAGGCCAUUCACUGCCAGUUCCACAGUCCGUUCACUGCCGACAGCCAAGGCCGUUCAACGACGUAGCGACGAGGCAGGUCAUCAGUUCAAACCUAACACAGAAACUCCUUGCUUGGCAUUCGAGCUCUUAUUUUCCCAAGACUAGUACUGGAUACACACUAUUCAUCGCAUUUGUCAUCGAGCGAUUGCACCCCUAUCUUCAGAAGCUCAUCACCAUGAGGAAAUCAUUCAACACCUCCCAGAGAGGAGGUUGA